AUUCGUCAGCACCGCGGAAGCGGGUAAUGGCGGCGUAAACAACACUAAGGUUCGAAAGAGAAGCUCCUUCUACCGAGCCGAUAUGGAAAUCAAAACUAAAAUACACAUGAAACUCAAACAGAAAAUAUUUUAAGUACAAGACCGAUCUCUCGGCGUUUGAAGUAUUACAUCCCCUGGUUUUCUUGGUGCAGUAAGCCGCUGGUUUAAGUCUGCUAACUAAAACAAGUAUCAGGAGAAAUGGAUUGCGUCGUUACGGGAGGAAACGUGAAAGUACUGGCCAAAGCCAUCCAGUCUCUGUCUCGUAUCGGUGAUGAGCUGUAUGUGGAGCCUCAGGAGGAUGGGCUGGCCCUGCGGUCUGUGAACUCUUCUCGGUCGGCAUAUGCAUGCUUCCUGUUUGCACCUCUCUUCUUCAGCAGGUACUCUAUCCCAAGUGGGCCUGCCUUCCGCUGCAAGAUGGCAAUAAAGAGCGUGCAGGCCGUGUUCAGGUCUCUGGCGUCUCUGGAGAAGACAGUGGAAAAGUGUCACAUCGAGCUGGAUGAGCAGAAGAACCGCCUCACCUUCACUCUGCACUGCAAACAUGGUCUCCUGAAGACACAUAACCUGUCUUUCCAGGACAGCGAAAGCUUACAAGCAGUGUUUGAUAAAGACAGCUAUGCCAAUGAAUUCAGGUCCCAUCCCAGGCUGCUGGUGGACACGGUGGUUCACUUCCCUCAGUCUGUGGAUGAAGUGACUGUUUCAGUGAGCGAUGAACGUAUGUGGGUCAGGAACCACGUGGAGGAAGAAGCAGAACAGUCCAAGGCCAUGCUGACAGAGCUGUGUUUGGCUUCAGACGAGUUUGACCAUUUUGCUGUUAAAGCUCACAACAGCGUCACCUUUUGUCUGAAGGAGUUGCGGGGUUUGUUGGUGUUUGCAGAGUCGACUGGUCUCCCUAUUUCUAUGUACUUUGAUGAGCCAGGCAGCCCUGUGGUGCUUUCAGUAACAGACAACGUCCUGGAGGGAAACUUUGUGUUGGCAACACUUUCUGAGGACUCCAACCAUUGUAAAAACAACACGAGAAGAGCGCACACACAGCCGCCGCCCCUCCUGAUGACUUCAUGAAUGACGACAUGGACUCGUAUAUCAUUGCCAUGGAUACCAGCAUGGCGCCAGGUCCCUCAACUACAGGUCCACCCACUGCCCCCUUCCACAAGUCCACAUGUUCAAAACAGCUGGCUGCAGCUAAUCACAGGCCGAGACUACACAGUGAGGAGGAGGAGGAAGAAGAAGAAACAGAAGAUCUGGACAGACCGCCAAAUAAGAAGUUCUGUUCCCUGUUCUUUGGAUCGGUGCUUCCCCCAUCUUCUCAGAUGACGACUCAACCGGUGUCGAGUCAGGAAGUGUUAGCCAGUGACAGUGAAGAUGACUCUCAUGCAGAGUGACAGUGGACUGAAGAAUGAGAGGACAGAGAUGGACUUUUGUAAAAAAAAAAAAAAGAGUGAAUGUGUUCGUACCUGCAGCACCAGGAAGGAAAAGGACAUGCCCAAACAUUAUUUUCCAUCUUUACAGGCCUGUACAAACGAGUGCAUGGUUCUCGUUCUUUUACAUGGGGGAUAAAUCACAAAACAGAGAACAGGAAGCUCACCACUUUUUAUUGGACUAUAAUGUUUCAGGUGGAUUAUGUGAAACUGGAAACGAUGCACUUCCUGUUUAUUUUCAUUUAGAGUUUGUUCAGAAGUGAUCAACGUGCCUCUUACAAAUAAAGAGAAAACAUAA